rnacentral:tRNA from 1 species
GCCUGGGUGGCGGAAUUGGUAGACGCAGCGGACUCAAAAUCCGCCGGACUUCGGUCUAUAUGGGUUCAAGUCCCAUCCUAGGUACCA